rfam:Schistosoma margrebowiei strain Zambia genome assembly, scaffold: SMRZ_scaffold0000716
AUCCAACUGACGAGUCCUAGGCAGGACGAAACGCACUUCUUAGAU